GUGCUCGCUUCAGCAGCACAUAUACUAAAAUAUGAAUGAUACAGAGAAGAUUAGCAUGGCCCUUGCACAAGGAUGAAAUGCAAUUUUGUAAAGUGUUCCAUAUUUUA
ensembl:snRNA U6 U6 spliceosomal RNA